rnacentral:rRNA from 1 species
AUGAUCCGGUGCUUGCGUCCGGGGAUUAGUGGCGAACGGGUGAGUAACACGUGAGUAACCUGCCCUUGACUCUGGGAUAAGCCUGGGAAACUGGGUCUAAUACCGGAUAUGACUCCUCAUCGCAUGGUGGGGGGUGGAAAGCUUUUGUGGUUUUGGAUGGACUCGCGGCCUAUCAGCUUGUUGGUGAGGUAAUGGCUCACCAAGGCGACGACGGGUAGCCGGCCUGAGAGGGUGACCGGCCACACUGGGACUGAGACACGGCCCAGACUCCUACGGGAGGCAGCAGUGGGGAAUAUUGCACAAUGGGCGCAAGCCUGAUGCAGCGACGCCGCGUGAGGGAUGACGGCCUUCGGGUUGUAAACCUCUUUCAGUAGGGAAGAAGCGAAAGUGACGGUACCUGCAGAAGAAGCGCCGGCUAACUACGUGCCAGCAGCCGGCGGU